UCAGAUGUGGCACCAGCUUGAUAACUCUGUGGGUGUAGUGUUUAGGAAAGGGACAAUGGCUUCUGCUCGCCUUGAUGCCAGACACUUCAGUUCCUCCUUGUAUGCCUCUGGUGCAUUUCAAGCUGCUACCCCAGUGCUGGAGCUCAGAGGGAGUGAGUCUGAGUAGAGAGAAUGUGCACCUAUAGUGGAUGAACUCCCCAAGGCAUGACGAUGAGUCAAAGGCAUCUCUCUGGAAAGGAUCAUCAGAGCUGACUGAGCUGGUAUUACUUUCAAGAGGAACCUGUAAUACAUUUCCUGCAUGCUACACUGUUUCAGAGUCAACUUCCUGGGAACUCAGCCAUGACAGGUGGUACCAGGAGUAGUUGAGAAACUAGAUUCUAAGAUGAGAUUUUGUAGUUGGAUCCUUGCUUUUCAGCUGGGAAUGAAGACCUCCACCAACCAUCAAACAGCACCUGGCACAAGAUAGCAGUGCUAAGCACCAAAGAAGAAUCACAACAUGGAGCCUAAGAUUCUGGAGCAAGAAUGAAACUGGAAAAAAUUGGUGUUCAUGCUGUCUGUCACUACCAGAACCAAUAAGUAGAGACAAGGAUUGAAUUUGUAUGAACACUUUAUUCAGAUGCCAGUGAUCUGAGAAGAUGGCAGGUUAUGUACCCUCAGAAACCAUCUUAACAUCUCAUCUCAAGCCAACAUUUUCAUGAGGAAAAGAAAAGGUAUGUAAGGAGUUUGGAAGAAGGUUUAGUUGAGUAAGAGUUGCAGUCUGGUAGCAAUUUUCCUACUACUUUAUUUGCUGAUCAACAAUUCUUUAUAUGUGUCAUGGACAUUCCCUCCCUAGAACACAGUGGUUCACAUACCAUCUCCAAUGCUUGCAUUCCUCUGGGGCACAAGGUUGAAUUGCUUGUUGACCUCCUGGAGUCAUGUGGUCAUGCCUUCUAGUUGCUGGAAUACAGCUUUCCACAUCUAUUAAUCACUUAAGCUUAUAAACUAUGACUGAAGCUAAAAUUUUUAAUUCUUGAGUUCUCCUAUCAAGACCAUGCCAACCCUAACAAAUAAUAAUACACCUUCUGAAAAAUAGCUUCUGGCAUGCUACUGAACCAUGGUAGAGAUGGAGUGACUGAUUAUAGGAUAAUAAAUGAUCGUGGAGUCAAAGCUGUCCCUCUUGUACAGAAUUCUGUCAGACCUACCAAGACAUAAGGUUGGACAGGCCCAGCAAGAACCCACUGCGAGAUGGAAGUAGCACAUGAAGGACUGAGCAUGAGCAGGGCCAGAGGACAAAAGCAAGGUAUCUGAGCAAGGAGGCCAGAGUUCCAUUCCAUUGUCACUGUUGCAACAGAUCCUCCCUGUCAAUUCAUGCCUUAGGCCAUGGAUCCCUAAUCCAUGUGGCUGGUGGAUGAGGCAAAAACCUGACUUUGACUCAAGGAUAAGGUGACUGAAUAUGUGAACUCAAGUCACAAUCCUAGCAGGAGUACUUCUGUUACACAACAGAGGCAGAAAAAAACUAUGUUUGUGACCCAAGUAAUUCACUUGGGUGCCUCUUGUUACUCCCUUGUCUAAUGAAAAAAGAGUGUAGCAGCCAUAGCCUGAUAAAGGCAUGGUGACCAGGGUGAGAUUCCCCAGGGAUGAAGAUAUGGGUAAUGCUGCUGAUAAGUCACCAAGACUCCAGGAAUGCUAGCCAGGAAAAAGGAGAAUCUAUGAUGACUGAAAAGGGAGAAAAUCAUGAGUCAGAUGUGACUCUGAAACCAGCACUAACCUGGUUAACCCAAGGCUAACCUCCCUUUUCCAAGUUUUCUUCAAGGGAAUCUCCUGAGCCCUCACAAGCAUCCCCAGAAUCCUAGAGUAGAUUCUUCGGGAAUGUAGAGUAGUGGGUCCUCAUGGUGUAAUGGAAAGACUAGUGUGUGUUGUGAUGUGCUGCCCAGAUCCCCCUUCUGUUCUGAAGGGCUUAUCCCCCCACCUGCUGGGAGAGCUGUGUGCAGAUACACUCAGCUGUUAGCCCUUUGCGAUGUUUGCCUUGGCCAAAGAGAGCUGCCUUGCCCAAGGCCACAUGCCUCCUGUCUGCAGCAGCCCACAUCCCAAGACUGUGCAAAAGUGUCUUUUUUUUAAAGAGUUUAUUUAUUUAUUUUUAGAGAGAGGGGAAGGGA